AAACAUUGUUUCUUGUGUUUAAAUGGGAAAUAUUGUCUGCCCACUGAGGUUUUAAAGGGCUGCGGUAUUACUGACCGUACAAAGGUAGCAUAAUAAAUAGUUCUUUGAUUGGGAGCUGGAAUGAAGGGCUUUAUGAAAAAUCAACUGUCUUAGUUGUAAUAUUAAAAUUUAAUGUUUAGGUAAGAAAGCCUAAGUUAAUUAGUGGGACGAGAAGACCCUAUAGAAUUUUAUUUUGUUAUUUGGGUUAGUUGAAUUGUAUAUAAUUAUGUUUAUGAAAUUUGAUUGGGGUGAUUGGAAAAUAUUUAACUUUUUUUGUAUCUGAUUAUAAAUAGAUAUUGGUUUGAUCCAUGAUUGAGUGAUUAUAAGAUAAAUUACCUUAGGGAUAACAGCGUUAUUUAUUCGGAUAGAUCAAAUAGAUGAAUAAGAUUGCGACCUC
rnacentral:rRNA from 1 species